CUGAUUGUGCUCAGGGCUCUUUCCUAGUAGUGCCGGUUUUCUGCUUAAUUGUAGUAACUGCAUAUUUCAGAGUUUCCAUGGCAUUCUGAUUUCACUCACCAAGUACUAAUUCUGGCUCAGAAUUUUUUAGAGGUCAACAGCUGCCCUUAUCUCUCAACAGGUGCACCUCAUGCGGAGUUUACGCAGCGGCUUUGGAUUACAGAAUGGAAACUUGUUUUGUUGCACGGCACGGACCAAGAAUACAAGAGUUGUUUGGCCAGCGGGGGGAGCAGAAGUGCUCUGCAAUGGAGAUGAAUAUAGGUAGGCCUACGUGCUGCAUCACCGCCAGGGACUGCCCUCAGCCCUAUAUAAAGGAGACAGUUUCCACAGUUCCUUGUUAGGGUGUUGUUCAGAGCAGAUGCCCGUUGAGUGCGAGUGGCCCCACCCUCAUUGGUACAAUUUGCCCCACCCCUUCUGGUCAGAACCAUAUAAAGGCUGGAAUUCCUGGAAGAAGACACCUCAAUCUUGACCCAAGCCUACUUCAAGACGGAGCUUCACAGACAGACUCUUA